rnacentral:rRNA from 1 species
AUGGGAGGAGACAAGGCAAGGGAAGUUCAUGCAAUAGAGGAGAAGCUCAGGAAUUUAAAGCUUUCUGAGGCGGAAAAGAAAGGUAUAAGAAUCAGCAAUCAGUUUACUAGUUCAUCCAUUGCAGGGAAGCUAAAAGCAGUAGGAAAGCUACUGUCUGUUAGACCUGCAAGAGCUGAACAUGUAGCAAGAACUCUAAGGGAAGUCUGGUGUCCCUUCACGGGAGUGGACUGCAAAGAAUUCGGAAGAAAUCGGUUUUUAUUUUCAUUCCACGAUGAAGCAGGGAAAAGAAAGGCUUUAAACAAUGGACCUUGGAGUUUUAAUAAGGAGCUGCUGGUUCUGGAAGAUUUUGCACCAAGCAAGACAAUUGACUAGUAUCAGUUUAAGAAGAUUCCGAUCUGGGUUAGAGCAUAUGAUGCUCCUCUAGGGGUUAUUAGUAGAGAAACAGGGGAGUUAAUAGGAGAACAGGUUGGAAAAGUACUGGGUGUGGACCUUGAUGAAAAUGAUUCAGCUAUGGGGGAGUAUAUGAGGAUCAAAGUACUCAUAGAUAUCACAAUUCCAUUGAUGAUGUUCUUCACACUAAUCAUUGAUGGCGAGGAAGAACAUGAGCAAGAAAGGGAGAUGGAAGAGGAAGAGAAUGAUGCAGAGAAGAAGAAGAAAGAGAUGAUGAAAAUUAUCACUUUUAAGUACGAGCAUCCCCCUGACUUUUGUUACAACUACGGAAUUAUUGGUCAUAGUGAGAAAGCCUGCCCCAGGAAGGGUGUGAAAGGAUAA